rnacentral:rRNA from 1 species
AAUGAACGCUGGCGGCGUGCUUAACACAUGCAAGUCGAACGAGAAAGUCCCUUCGGGGACGAGUAUAGUGGCGAACGGGUGAGUAACGCGUAAGAAUUUACCUAUUAGUGGAGAAUACCUCCGGGAAACCGGGGCUAAUACUGCAUAAGUCCCUUCGGGGAGAAAGAUGGCCUCUUUGCUGUCGCUGAUAGAUAAGCUUGCGUACUAUUAUGCUUGUUGGUGAGGUAAAGGCUCACCAAGGCUUUGAUGGUUAGCCGGCCUGAGAGGGUGAUCGGCCACAUUGGGACUGAGAUACGGCCCAGACUCCUACGGGAGGCAGCAGUGGGGAAUAUUGCACAAUGGACGAAAGUCUGAUGCAGCGACGCCGCGUGGAGGAUGACGGUUUUCGGAUUGUAAACUCCUGUUAAGAGGGAAGAAAGGCGUAUGGUUAAUACCCAUACGAGAUGACGGUACCUCUAGAGAAAGCUCCGGCUAACUUCGUGCCAGCAGCCGCGGUAAUACGAAGGGAGCGAGCGUUAUUCGGAAUUACUGGGCGUAAAGGGUGCGUAGGCGGUAUAUUAAGUCAGUUGUUAAAUCCCAUGGCUUACCCAUGGAUCGGCAAUUGAUACUGGUAAACUUAGAGGGCAAGAGAGAGAAGUGGAAUUCUCGGAGUAGCGGUAAAAUGCGUAGAUCUCGAGAGGAACACCGAUGGCGAAGGCAGCUUCUUGGCUUGUCCCUGACGCUGAGGCACGAAAGCGUGGGGAGCAAACAGGAUUAGAUACCCUGGUAGUCCACGCCGUAAACGAUGAUCACUAGAUGUCGGUUUUGCUUAGCGAGAUCGGUGUCACAGCUAACGCGUUAAGUGAUCCGCCUGGGGAGUACGGUCGCAAGAUUAAAACUCAAAGGAAUUGACGGGGGUCCGCACAAGCGGUGGAACAUGUGGUUUAAUUCGACACUACGCGAGAAACCUUACCUAGACUUGACAUGUGGGUGACCGCUAUUGAAAGAUAGUUUUCCUAGUUUACUAGGACACUUACACAGGUGCUGCAUGGCUGUCGUCAGCUCGUGUCGUGAGAUGUUGGGUUAGGUCCCGCAACGAGCGCAACCCCUGUUGUUAGUUGCCAUCAUUAAGUUGGGCACUCUAGCAAGACUGCCGGUCGUUAAGCCGGAGGAAGGUGGGGACGACGUCAAGUCCUCAUGGCCCUUAUGUCCAGGGCUACACACGUGCUACAAUGGGAGGUACAAAGGGCUGCGAACUCGCGAGGGUAAGCGAAUCCCAAAAAACCUUCCUCAGUACGGAUAGGAGUCUGCAACUCGACUCCUUGAAGUUGGAAUCGCUAGUAAUCCCUGAUCAGAAGGCAGGGGUGAAUACGUUCCCGGGCCUUGUACACACCGCCCGUCACACCAUGGGAGUUGACUGCUCCAGAAGUGGCUGAGCUAACCCGCGAGGGAAGCAGGUCCCCAAGGAGUGGUUGGUAACUGGGGUG